CGAGUGUUUGGGCGUCAAACCCCGGCGCGGAAUGAAAGUGAACGGAGGUGGGAGCCGCGCGAGCGGCGCACCAUCGACCGAUCCCGAUGUCUUCGGAUGGAUUUGAGUAGGAGCGUAGCUGUUGGGACCCGAAAGAUGGUGAACUAUGCCUGGAUAGGGUGAAGCCAGAGGAAACUCUGGUGGAGGCUCGCAGCGGUUCUGACGUGCAAAUCGAUCGUCAAAUUUGGGCAUAGGGGCGAAAGACUAAUCGAACCAUCUAGUAGCUGGUUCCUGUCGAAGUUUCCCUCAGGAUAGCAGUAACGCGUUCAGUUUUAUGAGGUAAAGCGAAUGAUCAGAGGCCUUGGGGUUGAAACAACCUUAACCUAUUCUCAAACUUUAAAUAUGUAAGAAGCCCUUGUUCCUUUGCUGAACGUGGGCAGACGAAUGCACCGUUACUAGUGGGCCAUUUUUGGUAAGCAGAACUGGCGAUGCGGGAUGAACCGAACGCGGGGUUAAGGUGCCGGAANNUNNNNNNNNNANACACCACAAAAGAUGUCAAUUCAUCUGGACAGCCGGACGGUGGCCAUGGAAGCCGGAACC
rnacentral:rRNA from 1 species